rnacentral:rRNA from 1 species
UCUGGCCGAAUUCUAUGAUUAGAGUUUGAUCAUGGCUCAGGACGAACGCUGGCGGCGUGCCUAAUACAUGCAAGUCGAGCGGACGAUUCAAAAGCUUGCUUUUGGAUCGUUAGCGGCGGACGGGUGAGUAACACGUGGGCAACCUGCCCUGUAGACGGGGAUAACACCGAGAAAUCGGUGCUAAUACCGGAUAACACGAAAGGUCGCAUGGUCUUUCGUUGAAAGACGGCGCAAGCUGUCGCUACAGGAUGGGCCCGCGGCGCAUUAGCUAGUUGGUGAGGUAACGGCUCACCAAGGCGACGAUGCGUAGCCGACCUGAGAGGGUGAUCGGCCACACUGGGACUGAGACACGGCCCAGACUCCUACGGGAGGCAGCAGUAGGGAAUCUUCCGCAAUGGACGAAAGUCUGACGGAGCAACGCCGCGUGAGCGAAGAAGGCCUUCGGGUCGUAAAGCUCUGUUGUUAGGGAAGAACAAGUACCGCAGUCACUGGCGGUACCUUGACGGUACCUAACGAGGAAGCCACGGCUAACUACGUGCCAGCAGCCGCGGUAAUACGUAGGUGGCCAAGCGUUUGUCCCGGAAUUAUUGGGCGUUAAAGCGCGCGCCAGCCGGUUUCCUUAAAGUCU